rnacentral:rRNA from 1 species
CCGGACGGCCAUAGCGGCCUGGUCAUACCGGCACUCAUUUCGAACGCCGAAGUCAAGCAGGCCCACGUUCCUGGUUGUACUGUUCUCAUGAACGGGAAGCCAGGGAAGCUGUCCGCC